GAUGGCCAAGGGAGAAGAAACCCUCCUGAAGCAUGUGAAGGCAAGAGGCCUGACUAAGUUCUUCUCCGGCUGUGCCGAUGCCUGUGCCUGCCACUGAGGGCCCUAACUGGUUGCUGGAGGAGACUGGCGAACUUGUAGCACUGUGGGGUGCCAGCAGCUCCAUCAGUAGCUCAGGGAAGCCAGACCAGCACCUGCCAUGCCAGCUCCACAGCCCCAGCCCCUGCCAUGAGACAUGGCCAGCAAUGACACCACCAGGUACCAGCAGCACCAGUGCCUCCCUGGGGGGGCCCAGGUGGGCACCUGCCAGCUGCACCCUGCCAUCCGAGGACACCGUGUGGAGCUGCACACCAUGGCCAACAGCUGUGACCAUGUGGAGCCACCAGCCACACCAAUCCUGACCACGUGGGCCUGCAGCUGCACGUGGGAAAGAAGCUGCCUUUGGCAUCCAACAUGCAGUCUCAGGGUUGCCACCACCCAUAGCCAGGGCCCAGUGGAUGCACCAGCUUUGUCAGAGGAGGACCCUGGACAAGACUCUGCUGCUGGACCACCUGGUCAUGGCAUCAGAGGACCGGCUGAGGGAUGCUCAGGCCUAGUGGGUGAGGAUGUGGUCCACCAGGACAGGUGGUACUGCCCCUGGAGGAUGGAGGGUGGAGGAUGUUGCCCAUGAGGACAUGCAGGACCAACAUGAAGAAUCAGGGGACUGGUGUGAGGAGGCAUGGGACUGGGCAGACUGGGAGCUGUGGGUGCAGCUCCUGGCCCUUAAGCAUGAGUGGGUGAACGUGCUGCAGGAGCAGAAUGCCAUCCUGGAUCAGGCAAUGCAGGCCGUGGGCAACAACCACCAGGUGUUGGAUACUGUUUUGGCUCUGGCUGUUGCCUUUUUGCUGCUUGCUACCUAGCCCCUGACCAUAGCCCUGUCUUCCCCCUGGCAGCCACCCACUGCCCAGCUGCAGGCCCCAGUCUGAGCCUGGGAAAAGGCCCUGUGCUGCCUCCAGCAGCUAGGAGACCCUGGUCCAACUCCAACCCUGGGUCCAGCAUCACUCAGCCCUCCCACCUGAGCCCAGUCCUGAUGCUUGCCUCAGUUCCACAUGCAUGCAUAGCUACAGUAGGGCCAGGAACACAUGCCAGCCCUUCUGGGCCUGGACACCACCUUCCAGUGAGGCCGUCAUUGUCCUGGGCAAACCCCCCACCAGCCACACUCACUAUUGUUUGCACACCCAUGGGGGAGUGGCCAGAGGCUGGGGUACUGGCCAUUGGUUCCUGGGCUGUGCCUCCUAGUCACUCCCAUCCCAUGGUCCCUCACCCUGGUAGGGUCCACAAAGGACACUGAACAAAGUUUUCUUGAGGUAGAAGGUGUUUUAUUGUUGGUGGGUGGUAGAGAGGCUGUUUGUUGGAGAGGAAGGGACAGA